rnacentral:lncRNA from 1 species
UUUAGAGUUUUAUCUUUGGUAAAAAGAAAGUGGCAGUUACAAGCAUCUUCUUCAAAUGGUUGAUCAACAGAAGCUUCCAUGAGCAUGUAGCCAGGAGGAAAAUGGUCUUUCCAUUGUUCCACCAGGAAAUUAAAAGGCUUGUUUAGAGCUGCAAAACUCCCAACCUCCUGCAAUGCAAACUGCUGUAUGUGCAGGAUAAUUUU